GUGACUGGCGGGCGGGGCGGCCAAUGAGGGCGCGGCGGAGCCUCACCUGCGUCUUUUUAGCCGAAGCGAAGGGCUCGGAGGCCUGAGAGGGACGAGGCCAUGGCGGAGAAGAAGGCCGCGGCCGGAGCCUGGGUCUGGGCCUGCCUCAGCGCUGGCCUCGUGUCCUCGGUCCUGGGACAGGUCAAAACUCUAGACGUUCCGGAGAACAGCGCGGUCAACUUGCCGUGCGAAGCCUAUGGGUCGCAGGGGACCCCGAAACGGCAGGAAUGGAAAUUCCAGAGAGAUGGGACCACCGUGUUAUUCUAUCACGACAAUGAAUUCACAGACGCCUACAAGGACCGGGCCGUCUUCUACCCCAACGAGAUCCACCUCAAGUCGGUGACGCGAAAAGACUCGGGACUCUACACCUGCGAGGUCCUGGGCAUCUCCUUCGCUCAGUCGCAAGUCAAUCUCAUCGUCCAAGUCCCGCCGUCGAAGCCCAAGGCGCAGGUCCCCUCGGUGGUGACCAUCGGGACCAAGGCGGUCCUGACCUGCGUGGAGACGGACGCCAACCCGCGGCCGGUCUACAAGUGGUACCGGGACAACGUGGAGGUGCCGGCCGACCCCAAGACCAGCUCCCUCUUCCGGAACUCCUCCUACUCGCUGGACGACAAGACCGGGGUCCUGGCUUUCGAGCCCGCCAUGGCCUUCGACGCCGGAGAUUAUUACUGCGAGGCCUCCAACAAAGUCGGGACGUCCCAGAAAUCGGACGCCGUGCGCAUGGAGACCAGCGAGGUCAACGUGGGCGGCAUCGUGGCCGCGGUGGUGGUCAUCCUCCUCGUCCUGGCGCUGGUCAUCCUCGGCGUCUGGUACGCCUACAGCCGCGGAUACUUCAGCAAAAGAAAAGAGUGAGUAGAAACUCAUCCGGUGGAGUCAUUUUCCCGGUUCAUUCUGCCCUUGGCACAAGGCCUCCCGACAACCACAUACGACUAAGUAGCUAUUUGUCGUUCAUUAUGUUUUCCUGUCUCAAAGGUAUUAAUUAACACUUGCAUCCUGCUGCGACUUAAUGAGAGAUAGGAUCCCCCCCCUUUUUUUUUUUUUUUGGUCUAACUGUUUUGAGGAGGAGAGUUUGGCCUUUGGAAACAGUGGAGGGGGAAGACUACACGGUUCCCGCGCCGCCUCAUGAUUUCGCCAUGAAUCCCCUUAAACUAUUGUUAUUUUUCUUCCUCUUUUGUCCUUUUACUUCCUCUUUCGUUUUCUAAUCCCUUUCCGGUCUCUUUUCAGCGGCUCCAACAAGAAGGUCAUUUACAGCCAGCCUUCCAGCCGCAGCGACGGCGAAUUCAAACAGACGUCUUCCUUCUUGGUCUGAAGCCCGACUACGAUCCGGCCUCGUCUUCCUGUUGUAAAUGUUCUCUUGACGAAUCUUUUGUAAUUAAGUGUGAUUUUUAAAACAGAUUUUUUUU